CCGGUGCUCGGUGCGCGAGUCACCGGCUCAGUGCGGACUUCCCAGGUGUCGCAGCGAGACCGUCCGCACCGACCCGGGCCGGAGACUAGGAUCCAAGCUGCAGCCACCAGCACUAGAGAAAGAUGAAAGCAGUCGCGGCCGGAUCCCGCUGUGGGAAGUGGCCGUUCGUUCUGGCUUCGAGGACCUUUCGUUGAUUGUUGAACAUAAGAUUCUCGGGCGGAAAGGGCUGGCCGGGGCACCUCGCAGGGGGAAGCGAGAAGAAAGGCUCCGGGGGUGCGGUUUAGCCCGUGCGGGAGGGAGGUGGGUCUUGGAGCCGCGCAGAGGGGUGGUGGCCGCCACAUGACAAGGCGCACUAAUGAGCAGCACUGGACACGUUUACGAGGGUAGAAUCGUACUUACGUGGCCAUUUAAAACAACAACAACGCAAAACCCGGGCUGUGCGAAAGGAAGGGUCUCAUCAGCCAGGGGUGUCUGCCUGGCCCUGGGCGCCAGCCCCGGGGUAAUGGGGAAGGCAGGCCUGGGCGGGCUCGCUGACCUUGGGUUUCUCGCAGCACCAAGGCUCUGAGGUGCUCUGAAGGGCCCGUCGCGCGUUCCUUUAGGGCAGCCUGGCCUUGCCCCUCUGCUCCUGUCUGCAGCGAGGAUACCUUUGUCUGCGGACCCCUUGCCCUCCAGCUCCUAACCUGCCAUUGUGGACCCCACUUGUUUCCCCUUCUCCUUGUCCUCAUCUCCUCUCCACACUGGGCUCUUGGGAGGUUACUCUCUCCUCCCAGAGGGAUCCGUGUAAAUGGCACCACCUCUGUGCAGGCAUUUGGAGCCAUCAGCCUGGCUAAGGACACCAUCAUCUCUCCUCCGGACGACUGACCAGGAGCUCUCUGAGUCUCUGUCUCAUCCAGUCCACUCUCCAUACAGCACCAAGAGAGGAAGGGAGAGAUAGAGAGCCAGAAACAUCGAUGAGAGAGAAACAUCGAU